GCCUGGGUGGCUUGGUCGGUUAAGCGUCUGACUUCAGCUCAGGUCAUGAUCUCACAGUCCGUGAGUUCGAGCCCCGCGUCAGGCU
rnacentral:tRNA from 1 species